rnacentral:rRNA from 1 species
UACGUAGGUGGCAAGCGUUGUUCGGAAUUACUGGGUGUAAAGGGUUCGUAGGCGGUGCGGCAAGUUGGGAGUGAAAUCUCUGGGCUCAACCCAGAGACGGCUUCCAAAACUGCUGUGCUUGAGUGUGAGAGAGGCUCGUGGAAUUCCCGGUGUAGCGGUGAAAUGCGCAGAUAUCGGGAGGAACACCUGUGGCGAAAGCGGC